GGUUCCGUAGCUCAAUGGUAGGGCGUUGCUUUCCGGUUUCAAUCACGAGUAGUUGUAUUGUCCAGUUGGCAAAGGUUCUGGGUUCGAGUCCCAGCGGGAUCG